CAUCCAUAACUGCCAGCGAAAACCUAAGGGACACUACUAGAAAAUUAGUCAAUAGCGGCAUUUAUUUAUGCUGCUAAAUGAUCAACAAAUGCUGCUAAAAGUUUUAGCAGCAUAUGACACCAAAUGCUGCCUAUGCCAAUGUUGCUAAAAGUAUUAGCAGCAUUAAUUAUAAAUGCCGCCAAUAUAAAUCAAUUAGUGUCAUUAGGAAUAUGCCGCUAAAAGAGAUUAAAUGCAAAUUUUAAAUUGUUUAUUAGCGGCACAUAAAUAAUAUGCCGCUAAUACAAAUAUCUAAUUUUAGAAAUUAAAAUUUUAAAAUUAUAAUUUUAUUUCAUUUUUAAUUAUUUUCAGAUGCUACCCGCUUCAUUUAUUUCUUUUUGCCUUAAACUUUGCUAGAAAUAUGAAUCAACUAGGUUUUGAACUUGAGACCUCGAGUACCAACAACCCAGCCCUUUGUCACUUGCGCUAGCAACUAUUAGUUAUGUAUAUUUUAAUUUUUUAUAUUUUAAGUCUUAUAUUUUAAAAUUUUUAAAUUUUAAAUUUUAAAUUUUUAAAUUUAGAUACUAAAUUUAAAUUUUUAAUUUUGAAAUAUGAAAUUUUAAGUUUCAAAAUUAAGAGUUUUAAAUUUGAAAUUUGAAAUUUAAAAUAAAUUUAAAAAUUUAAACUUUAAAAAAUAAUAAUUUUAGAAUUUAAAAUUUAAAAUAUAAAUUUUAAAAUAUAAAUUUUAAAAUUUAAAAUUUAAAAUUUUAAUUUUAAUUUUUAAAAUUAUAUGUUUUAUAUUUUAAACUUUAAUUUUAAAAUUUUUAAUUCUAAAUAAAAAAGAAAUAUAUUAAUAAUUAUAUAUUAAUUAAUAAUGAUAUUUAGUAACAAGUGCUGCUAGUUUAUUAUAUUUAGCGGCAUUCACUAAUUUAUGCUGCUAAUUUAUCUUAUUUUGCAACAUUAAUAGUAAAUUGCUGCUAAAUAAUUAAAUCUAGCGACAAUUAUCAUGUAAUGAUGCUAAAUAUAUUAAUUGACAUGAUUUAAAUAAAUGUUGCGGUGUAAAUAUUGCGGCAUUUAGUAAGUGCUGCUACUUUAUUACAUUUAGUGUCAUUUUUUAUAAAAUGUCGGAAACUUCGGCGGCAUUUACUAAUUUAUGCUGCUAAUUUAUUCUAUUUUGCAACAUUAAUAGUAAAUUGCCGCUAAAUUAGGCACUUAUCAAGUAAUGCCGUUAAAUAUAUUAAUUAACAUUAUUUAAAUAAAUGCUCUGGAGUAAAUGCCGCUAAAUCAUGAAUUUGUAGUAGUGGGACAUGGGCAACUCUUGGGAUCACCUUCAUUAGGCAUUCAUGAGGGCUCAUUAUUAUGUGAUAGUGGGUGAGUUAAUGUGUGUUUAAUAGUAAGUUAGUAUAGGCUAUAUUUCAAUGUAUCUAGGAGCCUAUAAGUAGGAAAGUUGGCUAAGGCCAAAGUUGUAAGGACUGAGAUUUUUGCAGUGCUACUAAACUCUCUGUUGAUGAUGUUUAUGUGUGUAAUUUAACUAUAUAAGCACUCGUCAAGUUUCAGGAGGAAAUGAGCUAAAACGGAGAAGUUACGCGAUUAUUAGUUUUCACUUAAGUGAAUAGUAACUCCGGUUUUUCGGUGAAGCCACAGAGUAGAGUUGGCUUUUUACGCGUAUCGGACUCCGUUCAUAACGAUCCAAUAGCUCGUUUCGACCGGUUCAGCUAUUCUGGAACCAAUGGCGCUGUCGGAUUUUGAGUUUGACGCACGGAUUUCGAGAAAAUCCAAAAAUACAUGUUUUAUAUGUAUUUAUGUGUUAUUUUCUUCUGUUGGAAAGAAAGAUUGGAUUGUGUCGUGAAUCCGUGGUCGAUCGAGGUGAAACGAAAUCGCAGCUUUGUUGUCUCCGUCGUGCUGAACGCGAUGGCGCUGUCGGAUCGAAAAUCCGACGGACGGAUCUCCGGGAAUUACGAGAUGUUCGCUGAGGGGGUCAAAGUGGCAAAACGGAUAAAUCGCGAAGAGA
rnacentral:lncRNA from 1 species